UUAAAUUGAAGAGUUUGAUCAUGGCUCAGAUUGAACGCUGGCGGCAGGCCUAACACAUGCAAGUCGAACGGUAACAGGAAGCAGCUUGCUGUUUUG
rnacentral:rRNA from 1 species